rnacentral:rRNA from 1 species
CAAAACUGAUCAUGUUGACAAUCUUUGCACAACCCUGUGUAAUGAUGUGUUUGCUUUUGGCACAGUGCUAUCAAAGCUGCAAGCAAAUGAUAUUUGAAAGGAUACAACAUGGGAUGUGACAUUCAUGUAUGCAUGCCUGCUUUGUCCACCAGCCUGUGAUGAAUGAUUCACAUUUCUUGCAACUGAAAUGCAAAUCGCAUGGUAAAGUUCAUGUGACAUGAUACAUGUUUGAGAUUCAUGAUGUGCAAGUACCAUGAGGGAAAUGUGAAAAGGACUUUGGAAAGAGAAUUAAAGAAAGCCUGCAAUUGCUGAUCACAAAAGCAAGUGUGGAUGUCAUCAUAAUGUUACUGCAUCACUUAAUGCUAAUCAGUGUUACUGAAUGCUUUGCAUUACAUUACAGGCCACAAAGUGUGAGUAACAGCAAUGUUACAAGUGUUUCCAUAUGGGAUCAGUUGAAACACUGUUUGCACACACUUCAGUGCCCCCUGUGUAUCACCAUCUCCUACCACUCAUUGUUUGCACACAUGAAAUGCUGUGUUUAUGUGACAUAUCUCUGUGUUCAACCAACAUGUUGUGUAAUACCUCACUUGACCCG